rnacentral:rRNA from 1 species
GACGAACGCGGCGGCGUGCUUAACACAUGCAAGUCGAACGAAGAGCGAUGGAAGCUUGCUUCUAUCAAUCUUAGUGGCGAACGGGUGAGUAACGCGUAAUCAACCUGCCCUUCAGAGGGGGACAACAGUUGGAAACGACUGCUAAUACCGCAUACGAUCUAACCUCGGCAUCGAGGAUAGAUGAAAGGUGGCCUCUACAUGUAAGCUAUCACUGAAGGAGGGGAUUGCGUCUGAUUAGCUAGUUGGAGGGGUAACGGCCCACCAAGGCGAUGAUCAGUAGCCGGUCUGAGAGGAUGAACGGCCACAUUGGGACUGAGACACGGCCCAGACUCCUACGGGAGGCAGCAGUGGGGAAUCUUCCGCAAUGGACGAAAGUCUGACGGAGCAACGCCGCGUGAGUGAUGACGGCCUUCGGGUUGUAAAGCUUUGUUAAUCGGGACGAAA